rnacentral:rRNA from 4 species
UUUAUGGAGAGUUUGAUCCUGGCUCAGGACGAACGCUGGCGGCGUGCUUAACACAUGCAAGUCGAACGGAAAGGCCUAGCUUGCUAGGUACUCGAGUGGCGAACGGGUGAGUAACACGUGGGUG